rnacentral:ncRNA from 3 species
AACCGCCGUAUACCAGACCGGUACGUACGGUGGUGUGAGAGGACGCUGAAUAAAAUAAUUAUUCAGCUCCUACUCGAU